UACGAAGGGGGCUAGCGUUGCUCGGAAUCACUGGGCGUAAAGGGCGCGUAGGCGGCUGGUUUAGUCGAGGGUGAAAGCCCGUGGCUCAACCACGGAAUGGCCUUCGAUACUGGUUGGCUUGAGACCGGAAGAGGACAGCGGAACUGCGAGUGUAGAGGUGAAAUUCGUAGAUAUUCGCAAGAACACCAGUGGCGAAGGCGGCUGUCUGGUCCGGUUCUGACGCUGAGGCGCGAAAGCGUGGGGAGCAAACAGG
rnacentral:rRNA from 1 species